rnacentral:lncRNA from 1 species
CAGCCGUCUCACCACCUUCCCUUAGAGAUCUGUUCCUCCCCCUAAAGGCCCUGGGGUUGAUUCCAGUGGGGCUGCCAACCACAGAUUCCUGAGCCCUGGCCACAAGAGGAUGAUGCAACCUAAGCCUGAGCCGUCAUAGAGCCCCACCCCCAGCCUGGAGCCUGAAUGAGGGGACUGAUCAAAGCUGGGCCAAUCAGCUGGGACUUCUACACAGGAAAGCAGGGGAGGGGAGAGAAGCCUUCUCAUUGCCUGGGCACAGCUGAGCUGAAUAAUAUAAGCCAGGAGCUUCUGGUGGCCAUGCCUCCUGUGCCUGUCCUCGCAAGGAUGAAGUCAUCCCCAGUAAGAGAAAAUGAGGCCUGAGCACAGAGAAAAGUCAAGACGAAUGACGGAGGCAAAGGGAUGGGAGUAGGAAGGUAACAGGAUGUGCGAUGGGACUGUUCCUGUUGUCCGGGAAUUCCAGCUAAAGCCCAGAGGCGAGGACAAAGAGGCUCUAAGCCAAGAAGCACACCACCUGCUGAAGCGAGCUGCCCACCAUGGCACACGCUGCCUACCCGGGCUCACCAAAAGGUGACCUGCUGUCCCCAUCGCUCCUUCCUAAUCUGUACGAGAUGACUGGGAAGGAGAAAAAGGGGAGACGGAGGCAGAAUCAUCUGUCCUGCGGGGAGGGCAGUGUUUGUGGUGAGAGGUGACCUCCCCCUAAGCCAAAUACUGGGACACUCUGGGGGUUCUGCCCAGAGAGGGGGCCCUGAGGGAAGGGGAGACUGGCCUGCUGUUCCCUGGUUGGCUAUUAUUUUCUAAUGUGCCCUUGGACUUACCGAAGGAAGGUGGAGGAGAAUGGGCACUGUUUCAGGAUGGGAAUGGGGCAAAGGGAGAGCUCCCUGCACUCCUACUGUUGCCCUGACAAGAAGGGAAGAAUUUCCAUUCGGGCUAAGUGGACAUCGUGGACGGUAGCUGGGCUUGGGCCCACAGGUCCUCCAGAGGACUCACCAGCAUUUGAAUAUCUGCCUCAGAGGGGGAGUCAGUCACUGUGAGCCCAAAACACAGUAACAGCGGGCCUAGAAAGGACGGCAGCUGUGGCCAGGUGGGUAAAGAUGCUCUCGUCCAGUUUCCUCUCCUUCUGCCCAGCCCAAACACACCAGUGAGCUUUGAAGCCAGAUACCCGAGGGUUACCAUAGAAAUGUGGAUGAAGACAGUGGGGACUGAAGUCAGGUUUCUGAGGGUUACUGUAGAUAUUCAAUAUGAACAUGAUUGCCUUUCACAAUUUGCUAUUUUCUUGUUUGAGCUGAGGGGUGACUCAGGGGUCAUGAGGACCUGUGAGCCUGUUUUGCUGAAGAGAGAACGCCUUCAGGGAUGUUGUGAUGACAGGACGAUCAGCCCCCCAGUGGCUGUUGACGCCCAGAAGUCAGAUUGCCCAGGAGCUUCUCUACAGUGAAAGAAAUACGGACUUACCCUUCGUUUCUCCAAAACUCCUCCUGCCAAGCCCCUUGGCUCUGUAAAACGCCCUGCUUUCUUCUCUGGUUAAGGCAGAUUUAAGAGAACCUCUCCUCCCGCCUUCUUGUUUCGGUGAAUUCAAAUAAACCUUUCUCCGUCUCCACGCAGGGAUGGCUCAGCGACUGACCUACUGCGCGUGGGUGUGUGAACUGGAGACUAAGAGGUUCCCUAUGGAGCGGGGCCUUGAAGAAGGGAGGGAGGGAUAGCUCAGAACCUGAUCACGCUCCUUCCCCAGCUUCAUUGCUAGCAGUCAGGAUUCCAGUUCAAGACCGCUCCAUGUGAGGGCAGGGGAAAAGGGAGAAGAGAUUUUAAUCAUUUGAGAUUGAAGUCUAAAAGUAGACUGGACCUUUAAGAACCAGGAAGGGGAGUCUUCCUGUGUCUGGCCGGCCCUGUCUGCCCCCAGGGAGCAUUUCCCACCCCCAACUCUGCCCUGCAGUGGGGUGGGGCCAGAUCCCCGCAGGCUGUGCUGCCCAGGCCCACAGGCCUGAGUACCUGGCUUCUGGCUCCUUUGGUAGGUGAGGGACUGGCAAGCAGGAGGAAGGGAGGAGUCAGGCAUUUUCCUUCCAUCCUCUCUGCCUCCAGUGCAGUUGCUGGCUGCCGGCUCUUCUUCUCUUCUGCCUCCAGGCUCAGCGCGGUCCAGCUUUUGCUGUUUGAGCCUCGCCUCCGGGCUGUGGGAACACGUCUUCCUCCAUUUGCCCCUCUGUUGAUAAUAUCUGGAUAGUCUUACUGUGCCCUGUUCAGCUUCUCAGCUUUUCCAUCACUUGUGUAACUUAUCAUCUGCAUCAAAUUCCCUCUGUUUCAAAUACUUAAAGUGCUUUUUGUCUUUUGAGCGGACCUUAACUCAUCUUUUUCCCCAGAGGUUUAUAAGGGUCUAUGCUGUAAAGGACGCUGCUAUAAAUAUCGCAGGGUCGGGGAUAGCAUUUGUAAGAAAUCAAAUAGUUUUAUAUUAAUAUCUUCAUCAAGACAUCUCAAUAGACUAGUUACAAACACCCCAACUCAAAUGUCAUCUCUUCAGAAGGGUAUCUCAGCAUCCCUCACCCCAGUGGCAUCCCAUUACCUUAUUUUGUGUUUUUUAAAGCCGUUUUCAGUACCUGAAUUCAUCUUAUCUAUUUAUUUGUGUCCAUGUGUAUUAUCUCCCUCCCCUCCCACUGGAAGAUAAGAUCCUUGAGGCCAGUAACUCUUGCUGUAUCCCUAUGCGCUCAAUAAUUAAUAACUGACCGGCCAGCAUCAGGACCUGGUGAAAUGGAGUGUGCGCCAUCCUGAGACGCUCCACCAGCAGCAGCGGGAUGUGAUAGUUGUACGUCUCUUGGUUGUCAAAUCUUGAGGGGAGGAUCAAAGAUAUUAAGAUGUCACAUUUACUGUUGCUGCCAUGACCGAAGCCGAAAAGCAGCACAGAACCGUGCGGAGGGUGGGCCCUGACUUGGACCUGCCUCUAAGGAGGGGUGAGCCUGGACUGCUGAGUGGGGGUGUAGGAGCUGCCUCUGCGUCUGCACCUUUAGCAGCCCUCUAGCCCAUCUCUGGCUUCAGCCACGGCUGUGGUAGGCAGUUCCACUCUGCUUUUGCUGCUGGUAUUCCACCUGCAGACUCAUGCCACCUGUCUUUCUCCAUUCCACGCUCAGACCUUCUCCCAAUGCCCGGAAGCUUUCUGGGCUGGCUUGCAAGCCCAGCUCAGAAAUGCAGAGGAGUUAAUACCCUAUAGGCAACCCUCAACCAACACAGAACGGUGGCUGAUGGACAAAUGCUCCAGCCUCCAGUCCAACAGGUGGAGACUUUCGGGAGAUAUUCUGCACGCUUCUCAGAGGUCCUGGUGGAAUUGAACUCCCACCGCUGACAGUAGUGACCUCAACAAUGCAUCCAUAGAUGAACUCUCCCCUUCUCUGUCUCACUCCCCCUGUCCCUUCACUCCUGCUUCCUGGGAUCACCUGUACCAAGUCUUGUCUCAGGCUCUGCUUUGGGGGACACUACAGUCUGGGAAAUGUUUGAUGUGGACAGAAGCAGGACUAAUGGUGGAACUUCUAAGUUAGCCUCCCUCCUGCAUGUGGGAUGCCUUGAAGAAAGCUGCAGCGUAGAUGAAAAGGAAACGCUAUACCAUCUAACAGCUGGGACACCGGAGACCAGGCGGUUCUGCUGCAGGCCCCAUAACCACCGAGGACACUAUGAGAAGCAGCGCCCUUCCUCGAGCUCUGAGAAAGCACCCCUGCUUGGACCGACUGAGACCUGUGUCAGCGAAAGCUGGGGCGGUGUGGGUGACAGGACUACCAGAACAGGGUGAUCCUGUCAGAGCCCCUCUCUUCAGGACUGCCAUGCCUUCAGCACAGCUCUCAGCAGCACCAGCUCUCCACUAACAGCCAAUGGAGCGCCGACCAACACCUGGCAAGUGAAUCUGGCUGCAGGGACAUCCCUAAGGUCCCCUCCCCCAGCAGGUGUCCACAGAGCAACACUGAGUAGGACUGAUUCCUGGGCAAAUGUAAGCAACCCUGGAAUAUUUGAAGGUAGAAUUAUUGAAAAAUAUUUGACGAAGAAAAGGAUUGAACUUUGUGCUAAUUUCACACCUAGCAGAUCAGAGCUGUAAUUGAGGCUUAAAAAGAAACACGAACGCACUUUAUCAUCACAAGUUGGUAAAGUCAGGAAUGUACUUUACAACCACUUUAUCAACAUUUAGUCAAACAUUUCCCAAAACUCAUUCAUUUGCCUAGUAUCUAACAAUUUACUAUCUGUACUAUUCGUUACUUAAUAUUUUUCUUUAAACCAAAACACUUUUUCAAACUUAAAUAUCCACUUAAGCUUCAUAUUGAAUGAAAAUAAAUGUGGAAUUAUGGAUCUGGUGCUACUUAUGUUUUUCUAACACAUAUGAAAAUAAGCACAUAACUAUUAGAAAAAUCACCUCAAUUUAUAUGUGGUAUGCGUAUUUCACAUUGGGCAACAUCGAUUAGCCAUGACUAUAAAUUGUCCUGACUUUGUUUCUCAUUAGAUUGCUAAGGUAUUACAAUGGUUUUUGCUUUCUGAGAUCUUAAUUCUCCGUGAAUUUUCCUUUGGUCAUAAUUGUUCCGCAAAGGUUGUUUCUCAGAAAGAGUACUUUCGAUACUUGACAUUCCUGAAAGUAUCUCUCUUUUGUUCUCAGUUUGCCUACCGCAAAAUUUUAAUAAUUCUCAAUCUACAGGAUUAUUUACAUAUUGCCCCAUUGUCUUCUAAUUUUUAACACUGCAAAUGAGAACUCCAACGCCAGUCUGAAUCUCUUUCUGUAGGAAAGUUUAUAGGAUUUUUACAUUAUCCUUGAAAUUCAGAAAUUUUACCAGCUAUGUCCUUGGGUGGAAUUUUUGCAGCAAUUCUGCCCAGGACUCAGUGAACCACUUCAAUCCAUAGAUAAAACAUUCUUCAGCUCAGGAAAUUUUCUUUAGUUAUUUUGUUAAUUGACACUUCACUUCUACCCAUCCUUCUUACUUAUUCUAAGACUCCUGUUAUAUGAAUAUUGGAACAUUAUAUCCAUCUCUCUCUCUCUCUUUUUUUUUUUGAAGAUUAGCCCUGAGCUAACAUCUGCUGCCAAUCCUCCUCUUUUUUGCCGAGGAAGACUGGCCCUGAGCUGAUAUCCGUGCCCAUCUUCCUCUACCUCAUAUGUGGGAACCCCACUACAGCCUGGCCUGUCAGGUGGUGCUUAGGUCCACACCGGGGAUGUGAACAGAUGAACCCCAGGCCUCUGAAGCAGAACGUGCAAACUUAACUGCUAUAUCACCCGGCUGGCCCCACCUCUCUCUUAUUUUUUAUCUCAUGAAUUUGUCUUUGUUCUGAGAGGAUUGUAUUAAUUCUUGUGAGUUUAUCUGAUAACGCACUCCGUCAGUUUUCCAUAGUAUAUAUGCAUUUCUGUUUUAUUUUUGGGCACAUACAAUCAUGUAUUUUAUUUUCAAGGACUGUUUCUUGUUCUCCAUUUCAUGCUUUUCUUCUCCUCUAACAAUUCACUGAGAUACAAAUGCUGAUGAGGAUUUUAGGCUGGGUAAUUUUAAAAAACUGCAGAUGAGAAGCAGGCUCCGAGGACUGGAAUUUGCUUGCUCUUUGAAAGACAUUUGCAUUUGUGAAGGAAGGGGGGAUGACCUUGUAGGGACCUGAAAUUGGCCACGCCAGGAUGUGUCUCUUUGGCAUCGGGAUUGUUUUGGGUUGAUUGCUUUCGAUAAACUGGGACAGGGAAGGAGGCUCUGGGGAAUGGAACUUGCCCUUCUUGGGACACAUUUACGUUUGUAAGGUAAAUCUCUAUCUGUAAAAGGUGCCUCCCUCUCUGUACCAGGAAGAAGAAGAGAGAUGACCUUGUCCCUAGAAACUCUUAAUGGGGAAGGCAAGAACUUAAGUUGAUUGCUGUCUGGUAAUCUCAUGUAACUGAUUUAGGGUGGUGGCUUCUAACCUUUCUAACCUUUACUUAAUCCGAUUUCAUUCUUGUCUAAAAGUCAUGGGAUCACCCAAUGACCAGACCCCACCUGCACUGAUACCAUUGUAACUUUUGUUCAUGUUCUUUCCUUUGUCUUGUAAAGAGAUGACUCACAUACCCAUGCCUUAUAAAAUUAGCCCUAACCCUCAACUCGGGGCAGCAGCAGCGGCUCUGCCUGCCCAUGGGCCCUGUCCCCAUGCUAUUCCACACUAUUCUCUAAAUAAAAGAGCACUACUGCCAGAUCUUGAGAGUCCAGGAAAUCUUUCUUUCGACUCCUCGGCUCACCAACCCCGCAUCAACGCGAACUUUUUAAAAGUUAGCUCCUGCUGGGGCCGGCCCGGUGGCGCAGCGGUUAAGUUUGCACGUUCCGCUUCUCGGCAGCCCGGCGUUCGCUGGUUCAGAUCCCGGGUGCGGACAUGGCACUGCUUGGCAGCCAUGCUGUGGUAGGCGUCCCACGUAUAAACUAGAGGAAGAUGGGCACGGAUGUUAGCUCAGAGCCAGGC